rnacentral:rRNA from 1 species
AUGGCAAGGGAGGACAGGAAGCGGAGGCAGCCCGACGGCGACGAGGCGGCAGACGAGGGGGAGAGGAGGGGGCGGAGGGACAAGAGGCCCAAGGAGGAGAAGCCGGCACCGCCCCUGCCGUCGGAGAUCAGGAACAAGGAGAAGCGCAGCGAGGUGUACGCCAAGCUCAAGCGCGAGAAGAAGGCCCAGAAGCGCAGGCUCGGCCGCGAGCGCGGCCAGGCCGCCCAGCGCGCCGCCGAGCUCGGCGAGGAGGUGCCGGAGAAGCAGGUGCCCCGGACGAUCGAGAACACCAGGGAGCCCGACGAGACCGUCUGCCGGCCUGACGACCAGGAGCUGUUUGCAGGGAAUGAUGCUGAUGAAUUCAAUGCAGUGCUUAAACAAGUAGUAACCCCGAAAGUAUUGAUUACCACAUGCCGCUUCAAUUCAGGGAGAGGACCUGCUUUUAUUAAGGAGUUAAUGCAAGUGAUUCCAAAUGCUCAAUAUGUUAAUAGAGGAACUUAUGACCUCAAGAAAAUUGUGGAAUAUGCAAAUAACAGAGAGUUCACUUCAGUCAUGGUUGUCCACACAAAUCGACGGGAACCUGAUGCGCUGCUGAUCAUCAACCUACCUGAGGGCCCUACUGCACAUUUUAAGCUAUCCAAGCUCGUUCUGCGGAAGGAUAUAAAGAACCAUGGGAACCCUACAAGUCAUAAGCCAGAGUUGGCGUUGAACAAUUUUACUACGCGCCUUGGUCAUCGUGUUGGGAGGAUGAUCCAAUCUCUCUUCCCUCAAGACCCAAAUUUCCGCGGCCGCCGAGUUGUGACCUUCCACAAUCAGCGAGACUAUAUAUUUUUCCGUCAUCACAGGUACAUCUUUGAGGAGAAAGAAAAGAAAAUCGUUUCGAAGGACAAGAAAUCGAAGGGUGAAACCAAAACUGAGAAGCAAAUAAACUGUCGCCUUCAGGAAUGCGGCCCUCGGUUCACCCUCAAGCUGCUCACAUUGCAACACGGCACCUUCGACACGAAAAGCGGGGAGUACGAGUGGGUUCACAAGCCCGACCUGGACACGAGCAGGAGAAGGUUUUUCCUGUGA